UACGUAGGGUGCGAGCGUUGUCCGGAAUUAUUGGGCGUAAAGGGCUCGUAGGCGGUUUGUCGCGUCGGGAGUGAAAACCUUGGGCUUAACUCAGGGCUUGCUUUCGAUACGGGCAGACUAGAGGUAUGCAGGGGAGAACGGAAUUCCUGGUGUAGCGGUGAAAUGCGCAGAUAUCAGGAGGAACACCGGUGGCGAAGGCGGUUCUCUGGGCAUGAUCUGACGCUGAGGAGCGAAAGUGCGGGGAGCGAACAGG
rnacentral:rRNA from 1 species